rnacentral:lncRNA from 1 species
UCAUAUUUAUAUAUUUUGAAUCUUACAUAUAUUUUAUAUCAAAUUAAAAAAAUAUAUAAAAUUAGUUAUUCCAAUUAUUCGUUUUUUAGCUCCAAUUAGUCCGUAAAUAACUAUUGCCAGUUACAAAUAAUGGGCCAAAAAAAUGAUCCAAUUCUUAUCAUAUUUUGAGCACGAAAAUUCUAGUUGGAAAGAGCCAUCAAAUUCUAAAAAGCUCAAAAUAAAUAAGUAAAUAAAUCAAUAAAUAAAAUCACCACCACGGGCUCCGCCACCACCGAGGACGCGGUCACUGUCGCCAUAGUUAUUGUCGGCAGUAGCACCGCCCUCAGCCUCGAUGCUGCCCCACCCCCUUGGCCCCGCAUCUCCCAUCGCCCUCCAGUCCUCUAAUAUAAAAUUAACUCUUUAAAAAUAUUUUAUUAGGAAGUUGCUAACCUUGGUUGUGUUGAUAUGCUCUAACUUGAUAAAGUAAUAAGUUUGUGAAAUUAAUAGAUUUGGUGCAAGAAGAAGAUGGAGGGGUGGAAGUUUAUGCUUAAGAGAGGGGGAAGGUAAGGUACACGUUGCAAGGAGAAGAUGGAGGGGUGGGAGUUAAGCCAAGGGGAAGAAAUCAUAUAUGUUAAUUAAUUAAUAGAAGUUUGUGAAAUUAAUAGAUUUAUUGCAAGAAGAAAUGGAGGGGUGAAAGUUUAUACUUAAGAGAGGAUGAAGGUAAGGUAUACGUUGCAAGGAGAAGAUGGAGGGGUGGGAGUUAAGACAAGGGAACAUGAGCUGAGUUUAAAAAAAAAAAACUUCUAAAGUAAUGUGGUUGUGCCACAUCAGCAAGAUUAUUGA